CCGGCGCACGGGUGAGUAACACGUAUCCAACCAGCCGUCUACUCUUGGACAGCCUUCUGAAAGGAAGAUUAAUACAAGAUGGCAUCAUGAGUCCGCAUGUUCACAUGAUUAAAGGUAUUCCGGUAGACGAUGGGGAUGCGUUCCAUUAGAUAGUAGGCGGGGUAACGGCCCACCUAGUCUUCGAUGGGUAGGGGUUCUGAGAGGAAGGUCCCCCACAUUGGAACUGAGACACGGUCCAA
rnacentral:rRNA from 1 species